CCUUCCUCAUCCUCUGUAUAAAAGGAACCAGAAUUCUGACUGGGGAAGCUGAUUCUUUGAGGCAUUAGUCCCCUGACCUCUCAGGCUGAUGGCUCUCUGAUUAAAGCCGUUAUUCUUGCCCCAGGAACUUGCCUUCCGAUGUACUGGUCUUUCGUGUGGUGAGCAGAAGUCCUUAUCAACUCUGUCAGAAGUGACCUGACAUCUCUCCUGUAGAGUGGAAUCUCAGGAAAGAAGGCAAAUUGAGGCGCUAUUACUUCAUUUUGGCCAGGAACUGCUUGGGACCAGCAGCAAGUCCUUAGACCUUCACUAAACUAUGCCAAGGUACAAGAAAGGAGAAAAUACUGCCUUUCAGGGUAGAGUACAGCUUCUUUCAAUGAUCUCCCAAAUGGCCCACAGACACUACACUUCCUUGCCCCUACUGUCAGGAAAAGUUCAGCUUACUUUCCUUGUAGCCUCUGUCUUCUCACCAUGCAGUAAGUUUAUACCAU
ensembl:lncRNA